CGCAUCAGUGAUGACCACUGAUGGCUUCUGAGUUGCACACAAUGAGUGCGCGUCUGGAGCUCUGAGGUCCAA